rnacentral:rRNA from 1 species
GACGAACGCUGGCGGCGUGCUUAACACAUGCAAGUCGAACGGAAAGGCCCUGCUUUUGUGGGGUGCUCGAGUGGCGAACGGGUGAGUAACACGUGAGUAACCUGCCCUUGACUUUGGGAUAACUUCAGGAAACUGGGGCUAAUACCGGAUAGGAGCUCCUGCUGCAUGGUGGGGGUUGGAAAGUUUCGGCGGUUGGGGAUGGACUCGCGGCUUAUCAGCUUGUUGGUGGGGUAGUGGCUUACCAAGGCUUUGACGGGUAGCCGGCCUGAGAGGGUGACCGGCCACAUUGGGACUGAGGUACGGCACAGACUCCUACGGGAGGCAGCAGUGGGGAAGCUUGCACAAUGGGCGGAAGCCUGAUGCAGCAACGCCGCGUGCGGGAUGACGGCCUUCGGGUUGUAAACCGCUUUCGCCUGUGACGAAGCGUGAGUGACGGUAAUGGGUAGAGAAGCACCGGCUAACUACGUG